CUCGACGCCGUGCUGGAAUUGGAGUCGCUGGUUGAGGUGGGUAUCUCUCAUUCCUCCAUGGAUUUCUUCUCUACUUCAAGCUUCAUUGAAUCCGAGCUCGAGGUGCUUUUUUCACUGAUUUCCAGCGUCGACCGUCGGCGUUUCGGCUCCCUCUCGACGUAGGAGCAGCGGAUUUCGACAAGACUUGGUUCGUUGGAUUCGGGACUUCGAGAGGAAUCCACGAAGCCCUUACUUGCUGGUUUUGGUGGAGGUUUUCCUGAGUUUGGCAGGAGCGUGAUUUCUGGCCUUUGGAGGUUUGCGGAUUGAUCCAGCAGGGUGUUCCUUUGCUUCGGGACAUCCUCGCUGCUGGGGAUUAGCGACUAAGAGCCACAGGUUUCGGCUGCUGCGCCUUCCGCGGAUCAGGAUCGAGG